rnacentral:lncRNA from 1 species
CGAAUCAAAUCGAAUCCGGAUUCGUUUAUUAUUCGUUUAUCCUUAACGAGUCGAACCGAAUCGAAUCGAAUAAGGAUUCAUUUACAAUUCGUUUAGAAAAAUAUAAUUAAUAAACAAAAUUAAGCAAAAUAAAAUAUAAAAAAUCACAAUUUUAACAUCCCACAACAAAAUACAAGUAACUCAAACCAUAUUUUGCAGUCAUCUAAAUACUAAAUUACAAAUCCCUAAUACUACAAAUAACAAUAAUUCAAAUUCAAAUUAUAAAAUAAGGUAAUUUCUUUAAUUCUCUUCAUUUGUUUUUUUCACCUUGAAAACAAAAAUCCUACACCAAAAAGUAAAUAAAAAUAUUAUUAACAAUUUAACAUACUGAAAUAUUGAUAAUAAUCAUUGUAAAAUUUCAAAAUAUCAAAUAUAUAGCAAAUUUGUCAUAUUUUUAAGAAAAUAAUAAUUAAACAAGACAAAACUUUACCUAUCAUACUCACACAAAUCCAAGGAUUUGAAGCAGUGGCAAAACGUAGCACUUGCUGGAUGUAAAAAAAAAAAAAAAAGGGGAUUUGGAGAAGGAAAUGAAGGGAAAGAGAUGGCAAAAUGUAGCAGUGGCGGCUGAGUUGCUAGGAGGUGAGGGAAAAGUGCGUGUGAAGUGUAAAAUUAGGGUUGGUCUUUUGACUUUAUG